UUGAAAUGCAGUCCAGGUGACUACCUCAUGAAGCUGGUUGAGAGAAUGCUAGGACUGUGCAAAGCUGUCAUCAAGGCUAUGGGUGGCGACUUUGAGGAAUCUACAAUAUCAAUGUAUUUUGAUUAUUUUAAUAGUUUAUUGUUUACUACAUGAUUCAAAUGGGUGUCAUUUAUUUAAUAUUAUUUAAAAAAAUUAGAACAAAAAUCAAGAAAUACCCUUUUAAUUAAACUGUGAAUUAAAUUCUACUCCAUUCAAUUGAAACUGCACUCAGCUUCCUGUAGAUGUGUAGCCAGUCUAUGCAAACUCAUUGGUUCAAUUUAAUUAAACAAAAUGAGUAAAGAUUGACCCAACCCUGUCGUAGAUGUUACAAACAAAACACUCUACAAACACACACACACACACACACAGUGCAACUUCCUAGCAAAUACUCUCCUCUCGGAUCAUUCCACCUACAUCAUGAAACCACCAUCUAUCUUCCACAGACUGAUGUCUGACAGAUGUGUGGCUAUGGAACUAACAUUCCAUGGGUUAGGGACAACAUGACCCCAGGUUAGGCACAACAUGACCCCAGGUUAAGGACAACAUGACCCCAGGUUAGGCACAACAUGACCCCAGGUUAGGGACACCAUGACACCAGGUUAGGGACAACAUGACCCCAGGUCAAGGACAACAUGACCCCAGGUUAGGGACAACAUGACACCAGGUUAGGGACAACAUGACACCAGGUCAAGGACAACAUGACCCCAGGUUAGGGACAACAUGACACCAGGUUAGGGACAACAUGACACCAGGUCAAGGACAACAUGACCCCAGGUUUGGGACAACAUGACCCCAGGUUAGGGACAACAUGACACCAGGUCAAGGACAACAUGACCCCAGGUUUGGGACAACAUGACCCCAGGUUAGGGACAACAUGACCCCAGGUUAGGGACAACAUGACCCCAGGUCAAGGACAACAUGACCCCAGGUUUGGGACAACAUGACCCCAGGUUAGGGACAACAUGACCCCAGGUUAGGGACAACAUGACCCCAGGUUAGGGACAAAAUGGGUGUCUUCGCGAUUUAGAUAGUUAACAGAAUGUCCAGUCAGUGACUCACAUACAAAUACAUGGACUCACAGACUUUGCAAUGGUGCAUUAUGUGGUAUUGUGAUUUCAUUUGCUCCUUUUGGUAUUUCAAAUCUGUUAAUUUUUUAUUUUAUGUUUUAUAUAAAAUUCCUUGUAUUUUAUGCCUUUAAUAUCAAGUAGAGGUAGUGGUUCCCCUCUGAUGGUCAAACUUGUUUUAGAAAAUUACUGUAACUUUCCCAAAACUGUCCUGGUUGAAGAAUUCCAGAUGUCUUGUUAAUUUCCUCCUGAGUCCAGAAAUUUGACAACUAGAAUUUCUUGUAAAAGGGAUUUUUUUGGAAAGUUACCAGAAUUUUGCAACCUAUGUCAAUUGUCCUUAUGCAUGAAUUUAUGAUCCUUUAAAGUUUGACUGCAUUUAUAGUGCAAUUAAUUAUUUAAGGUGCAGCUAGGUUACAAUAGUUAGUUCUUAUUUAUAUUUCUGAUAUAAGUGAUGAGACACAUGAGUAGUUAGCAAGCAGGUUUUUUAUAGCAUGAUGGGAAAGUUGUUUGUUUCGAGGUUGUGUCUGUAUUAAUGCAUGAUAGGAAGUUGUUUGUGUCUAUCAACAGAUGAUGCGAAGCGGAGUGUCAUGAGAGUGUGUGUGUGUGCUGUAGAGUGUGCUUGACUGUGUGUGAGCUGUCGUCUAUGCCUGCAUCGCAAACCUUGUUACCAUGGCAACAGUAUCCCUCAGCCCUAAUAUAAAAGAAACAUAAUAAAAGGUUCUCAAACCUAGCUCCUCCUACCACCCUGACAGUUGGUACGGUCCAGACAGAGCCCUGUGUUAAGGUUCUCUGGUCCACCUAGCUCCCCCUACCACCCUGACACUUGGUACGUACCAGACAGUGCCCUGUGUUAAAGUUCUUUGGUCCACCUAGCUCCCCCUACCACCCUGACAGUUAGUUCAGUCCAGACAGAGUCCUGUGUUAAGGUACUCUGGUCCACCUAGCUCCCCCACCUCUCUGACAGUUCGUACGUACCAGACAGAGUCCUGUGUUAAGGUACUCGGGUCCACCUAGCUCCCCCUACCACCCUGACAGUUGGUUCAGUCCAGACAGGAACCGGUGUUAAGGUACUCGGGUCCACCUAGCUCCCCCUACCACCCUGACAGUUGGUUCAAUCCAGACAGAGCCCUGUGUUAAGGUACUCUGGUCCACCUAGUUUCCCUACCACCCUGACAGUUGGUUAGGUCCAGACAGAGCUCUGUGUUAAGGUACUCUGGUCCACCUAGCUCCCCCUACCACCCUGACAGUUGGUUCAAUCCAGACAGAGCCCUGUGUUAAGGUACUCUGGUCCACCUAGUUUCCCUACCACCCUGACAGUUGGUUAGGUCCAGACAGAGCUCUGUGUUAAGGUACUCUGGUCCACCUAGCUCCCCCUACCACCCUGACAGUUGGUUCAGUCCAGACAGGGACCUGUGUUAAGGUACUCUGGUCCACCUAGCUCCCCCUACCACCCUGACAGUUGGUUCAGUCCAGAGAGAGAGAUCCGUCAGGGAUCAUUCCCCUUCAUUGGCUGUUACUAUGGCAAUUCUAUAAUCUCUGCUGUUGUUAGCAGCUGUGGUGGUGGGUUGGUUACCCUUGGUUACCGUUGUGUUAUUUACCAAGCUGUGGUUGCCGUAGUUACCCAUACAUUUAUGGUAAUUUUUGCUUUCAUGUCUUCGGUUGUCAAGGAAAUGCGGUACAGAACCUCAGUUAGGUUGCCAAGGCAACUACCUUUCCUUUUAACUUAUUUAGCUGAUGCACAUAUCAUACCGCAGCAACUCCAUAUAUUUAUGUGCUUAUUUGUACAGGUCAGAUGUCAUUGGGGAACUUUUCGUCCCCUUUUCUGACACUGUAAAUGCGGAGUGGAGUUAAACUGACUGACUGUCCCUACGUUUCUUCGCUCUCUAGAAAUCCAGUCCGGAGGCUUCACAGAUUUCCUAUAAAUCCCAUCAAUACUCUGGAAUCCAAAAUGGAUUUCUGUCCAAACCAAACAGGGAUUGUUGAGAAAAUUUGCAGAAUUGUGUCCUUACAACCCAAAUGUUAGGUUUGACAGUAAAGGAAGAGAGCUGUUGGUCUAGGAUACUGUAGAGAGCAGCUAAAGCAGCUAAAGUCGAUCAUUUCAGUUUCACUGCUGAGUAGCGCUGUGUAGACCACACUAGGUCUUACAAUAUCCUUAAAUGUCUCCAAUUACAACAUAACCUUUUCCACAUUUUACCAAAUGUGUUACAACAUGAAAUCAGAAUGGUUUUAAUAUUUGCUCGCUAUAUUGACUCUUUGGAGAAAUCUCCACCAGAUCUGCUCGUCUGCACACGUAUUGCCCAUUGUUUGCAGAAUUGCUCUGGCUCCAAGUUUGAUAGAGAGCUUUGUGGAUGAGCAAUAUUCAACUCUUAACAUAUUCUCAAUUGAAUUGACGUCCAGGCUUUGACGGGAACACCACAGACCUGUCCUGAAGCCACUCCAAUGUUGUCUCAGCUAAGGGCUCUUCACACCAGCCUGAGGUCCUGUGUCCUCUGGAUCAGAUUUUCCCCAAGGACAAGUCUCCUAGUCCCUUCCGUUGAGAAGCAUGCUCAUAGCAUGAUGCUGCCACCACCAGACUUCACUGAGCGCAUAGAAUUGUCUUCCACUUGGUCUCAUAGUCUGUCACAUGACUUCUGAGAAACCUUUGAAAAUUUGAUGUGCGUUUUUUUCUCUUUUUGCUAAUCCCGCACAAAGACCACUUUAAGCUGUUGUUGUAUUAUGAACAGUGUUGACCAUUGACCUCUUUGUGGCCUCCCGGAUAUCCUGAAAAAAUUGGUUUUUGAGAAGGCCCAGUUCUAGACUGGUUCACAGGUGUGCCAUAUUCUUUCCAUAUCUUGAGAAUAGAUUUUACUAUCCCCUGGACUUCUUAUGCAAUCAACUGUUUUUGGUUUUAUAUUUUUAAAUCAUUCAGAAAAAUAUGCACAUGGAUUUGUUUUGUAUAAGUCAGUGGCAAAAACUUAAUUUUGAAAUAAAUCAAUUUUGAUUUAAUUUUGUAACAUAGUAUAAAUGUGGAAAGGUCCAAGGGGGUGAAUACUUUUGAGAGCCCUGGUAUGUGCAUCCAUCCAUGUUUGUAUGCCUCCUGUGUUUUGUUUGGUCAGUACUGGAAAUCAUGAUCAAUGUUUCUUAUCCAUAGAAAUAUAAUUUCUAGACGGGACUCCAUUGUAAUCCUGGCAAUUUAAGUUGUAAACCUGCAACUGCAAUGGCUGACAGUCCACUAUGUCUUAUGUUCUAAGGAUUGUAUUUCUAUGGUUUUAUUUCUCUUGAUGCUGAUAAUGAUGAUGAUGUCUUGGUCUCUCUGCACUGAUUUGAGGAGUAGCUUUUUGCAUGUUCUGUUACUAUGAUAAACAACCAGUAUAGUAAUUUAAUAUUAGUCCUUAACCCCACAGCAGAGCAGGCUAUUAAGUGUGCUUUGCAUAUUUGUAGUAUUAUGCUUUUCAAAUGCUUUACUUGUGCCAAAGUAUUUUACAGAAAAAUCUAAAAUAAAUUACUAAAAAUGAA